GGGAUUGUAGCUCAGAGGUAGAGCACUCGCCUAGCAUGCGUGGGGCACUGGGUUCGAUCCUCAGCACCA
rnacentral:tRNA from 1 species